rnacentral:rRNA from 1 species
UGGGUAACACUAACUGGAGGACCGAACCGACUAAUGUUGAAAAAUUAGCGGAUGACCUGUGGCUGGGGGUGAAAGGCCAAUCAAACCGGGAGAUAGCUGGUUCUCCCCGAAAUCUAUUUAGGUAGAGCCUUGAGCUUACACCUUUGGGGGUAGAGCACUGUUUCGGCUAGGGGUCCAUCCCGGCUUACCAACCCGAUGCAAACUACGAAUACCRAAGARUGAUACUCAGGAGACACACGGCGGGUGCUAACGUCCGUCGUGAAGAGGGAAACAACCCAGACCGCCAGCUAAGGUCCCAAAGUCAUGRUUAAGUGGGAAACGAWGUGGGAAGGCUYAGACAGCYAGGAKGUUGGCUUAGAAGCAGCCAUCMUUUAAAGAAAGCGUAAUAGCUCACURGUCGAGUCGGCCUGCGCGGAAGAUGUAACGGGGCUAAACCAUGCACCGAAGCUGCGGCAGCGACGCUUAUGYGUUGUUGGGUAGGGGAGCGUUCUGUAAGCCGYUGAAGGUGUSCUGUGAGGCACGCUGGAGGUAUCAGAAGUGCGAAUGCUGACAUAAGUAACG